rnacentral:rRNA from 1 species
CCUACGGGGGGCAGCAGUGGGGGAUAUUGCACAAUGGGGGAAACCCUGAUGCAGCGACGCCGCGUGGGUGAAGAAGCGCCUCGGCGCGUAAAGCCCUGUCAGCCGGGAAGAAAAUGACGGUACUUGAAGAAGAAGCCCCGGCUAACUACGUGCCAGCAGCCGCGGUAAUACGUAGGGGGCAAGCGUUAUCCGGAUUUAAUGGGUGUAAAGGGGGCGCAGACGGCGGUGCAAGCCAGGAGUGAAAGCCCGGGGCCCAACCCCGGAACUGCUCUUGGAACUGCAUGGCUAGAGUGCAGGAGGGGCGGGCGGAAUUCCAGGUGUAGCGGUGAAAUGCGUAGAUAUCAGGAGGAACACCGGUGGCGAAGGCGGCCUGCUGGACUGCAACUGACGUUGAGGCCCGAAAGCGUGGGGAGCAAACAGGAUUAGAUACCCGAGUAGUC